CUGGCUCUGAUGUACUGAUAGCAGGUGCGAUCGUUGGGGCUCUGUUUUUCCCUCUCACUGCCGUUGUUCUGAUCACUGUCUACGUUUGCAGCGUAUUGUAAUAAGAGCCGAGCUACAUCAUCACACAGUAGACACAGGAAAUAGGUCAUCACACAAGGAGUAGGUCAUCACACAAGGAACCGAAAACACAUAAGCCUUCGCAGUUACGACACCCGAACAACGAAACGCCACACCUAACGUCAUCUUCAACGAAUAAACAGUCACCCCCCCCCCCCCUCUCUGCCGCCUUCGUCCCACACAACAGCAAAAUCAAAGACACGGAAUGCCAGUACGUCGAUGUAUGUUGGAAAAUGUAAAGGAUGGCAUACACACCCAACGUCCACAUCUACACAGAGAUUAGGCGUGUUGUGCCAUUCUGGGUCAACUAUGGCAAGCUUUACUCUGCACAUCCAUCUUCCAACCGUAGUCACUACAGAACCAAGUUUUGCUCUGUGCCACCAUUGUUAAAAUCCACGUCACUACAGAACCAAGCUUUGCUCUGUGCCACCAUU